rnacentral:sRNA from 1 species
AUUAUCCAUUUGUACCAAAGACAGUAGGGGCGGCUUUGUAUCGCUUAAUGAUCCUACCGAGGGCAAAGGAAUCAUUCUCUAUUUAGAUGAUGAAUUUCUGCCUCUUGUCUUUCAAUGAUAAGGGGCUUUUCUUUUG